CAAUGAGAUAACUUAACCUUCUUAACGCAUUGCAGAAUUAGAUAGUGACAGCGAUAAUUGCAUCCCAGCCUCAAAGAAACAGAAAAAGGAAGACACAAACAAGACUACAAAAAGGAAAAAAGCAGCAAGCCGUGAAGCCAAGAAAGAGGAAAUUGUGAGCAACCUAGAGGAAAAGCACGGAACACAAUGGGAGAAGAGGGAAUACCGUUUAUGGGCUGAGGCCAUACUAAGAGAGGAUCAUGAUGAUUAUGAUAAACCGCCGGACUACCCUGUCUUCAACAAAAAGGCGGACAAGGCACUGAAACGAACACCGUGUGACUUGCAAGCAAAGACAACGCGUGUUGAAACCAGGACAAAGUUAUUCGAGCAGUUAAGCAUGUUGAAAGAACUGAAAGACAGAAAUAUCUUAAGUGAAAGCAAGUAUGACGAG